AACAGAGAACGCGGCUGUCGCCGGGCCGAAAGGCCGGGAGGAAAGUCCGGGCAACACAGGGCACCAUACUUCCUAACGGGAAGCUGCUCGCGAGGGCAGAGUCAAGGUAACAGAAAACAACCGCCUCAGGGCAAGGGUGAAAAGGCAGGGUAAGAGCCUACCGCCGGCAGGGUGAUCUGCCGGGCCGUACCACUUAUGGGUUGCAAGGCCAUGUAAACCGACGCUACGAGGGUUGCCCGCCCCAGUCGGAGGGUAGGCCGCUUGAGCGGCGGGGAGACUCGCCGCCUAGAUAAAUGACAGCAUCACACAGAACCCGGCUUACGGUUCUCUGUUAUUU
rnacentral:RNase_P_RNA from 1 species